GGGGAAUUUUCCGCAAUGGGCGAAAGCCUGACGGAGCAAUGCCGCGUGGAGGAGGAAGGCCCGAGGGUUGUAAACUCCUUUUCUCAGAAAAGAAGAUCUGACGGUAUCUGAGGAAUAAGCAUCGGCUAACUCCGUGCCAGCAGCCGCGGUAAGACGGAGGAUGCAAGCGUUAUCCGGAAUGAUUGGGCGUAAAGCGUCUGUAGGUGGUUUAUUAAGUCUGCUGUUAAAGCACAGGGCUCAACCCUGUAUAGGCGGUAGAAACUGGUAGGCUUGAGUAUGGUAGGGGUAGAGGGAAUUCCCGAUGUAGUGGUGAAAUGCGUUGAUAUCGGGAAGAACACCAAAGGCGAAAGCACUCUGCUGGGCCAAUACUGACACUAAGAGACGAAAGCUAGGGGAGCAAAUGGGAUUAGAUACCCCAGUAGUC
rnacentral:rRNA from 1 species